rnacentral:rRNA from 1 species
GUUUAUUUUAAAAGUUAUAAGCACUGUCUUAAAAAAAAGUUCUUUGAAAAGUAGAUAAACAUAGUAAAAUCGAAAAAAAUUGAAGGAAUUAAGAGCGCACAGGGAUGCCG